GCGCCCGUAGCUCAGCUGGAUAGAGCAACGGACUUCGAAUCCGUAGGUCGCAGGUUCGACUCCUGCCGAGCGCA
rnacentral:tRNA from 1 species